CCUACGGGGGGCAGCAGUGGGGAAUAUUGGACAAUGGGCGAAAGCCUGAUCCAGCCAUGCCGCGUGUGUGAAGAAGGCCUUCGGGUUGUAAAGCACUUUCAGUGGGGAAGAAAGCCUUGGGGCUAAUACCCUCGAGGAAGGACAUCACCCACAGAAGAAGCACCGGCUAACUCCGUGCCAGCAGCCGCGGUAAUACGGAGGGUGCGAGCGUUAAUCGGAAUUACUGGGCGUAAAGCGCGCGUAGGCGGUCUGAUAAGCCGGUUGUGAAAGCCCCGGGCUCAACCUGGGAACGGCAUCCGGAACUGUCAGGCUAGAGUGCAGGAGAGGAAGGUAGAAUUCCCGGUGUAGCGGUGAAAUGCGUAGAGAUCGGGAGGAAUACCAGUGGCGAAGGCGGCCUUCUGGACUGACACUGAUGCUGAGGUGCGAAAGCGUGGGUAGCAAACAGGAUUAGAUACCCGAGUAGUC
rnacentral:rRNA from 1 species